rnacentral:rRNA from 1 species
AUGAACGCUGGCGGCGUGCCUAAUACAUGCAAGUCGAGCGAACAGACGAGGAGCUUGCUCCUCUGACGUUAGCGGCGGACGGGUGAGUAACACGUGGAUAACCUACCUAUAAGACUGGGAUAACUUCGGGAAACCGGAGCUAAUACCGGAUAAUAUAUUGAACCGCAUGGUUCAAUAGUGAAAGACGGUUUUGCUGUCACUUAUAGAUGGAUCCGCGCCGCAUUAGCUAGUUGGUAAGGUAACGGCUUACCAAGGCGACGAUGCGUAGCCGACCUGAGAGGGUGAUCGGCCACACUGGAACUGAGACACGGUCCAGACUCCUACGGGAGGCAGCAGUAGGGAAUCUUCCGCAAUGGGCGAAAGCCUGACGGAGCAACGCCGCGUGAGUGAUGAAGGUCUUCGGAUCGUAAAACUCUGUUAUUAGGGAAGAACAAAUGUGUAAGUAACUAUGCACGUCUUGACGGUACCUAAGCAGAAAACCACGGCUAACUACGU